GAUGAACGCUGGCGGCGUGCCUAAUACAUGCAAGUCGAGCGAACGGACGAGAAGCUUGCUUCUCUGAUGUUAGCGGCGGACGGGUGAGUAACACGUGGAUAACCUACCUAUAAGACUGGGAUAACUUCGGGAAACCGUAGCUAAUACCGGAUAAUAUUUUGAACCGCAUGGUUCAAAAGUGAAAGACGGUCUUGCUGUCACUUAUAGAUGGAUCCGCGCUGCAUUAGCUAGUUGGUAAGGUAACGGCUUACCAAGGCAACGAUGCAUAGCCGACCUGAGAGGGUGAUCGGCCACACUGGAACUGAGAUACGGUCCAGACUCCUACGGGAGGCAGCAGUAGGGAAUCUUCCGCAAUGGGCGAAAGCCUGACGGAGCAACGCCGCGUGAGUGAUGAAGGUCUUCGGAUCGUAAAACUCUGUUAUUCGGGAAGAACAUAUGUGUAAGUAACUGUGCACAUCUUGACGGUACCUAAUCAGAAAGCCACGGCUAACUACGUG
rnacentral:rRNA from 1 species